rnacentral:lncRNA from 1 species
AAGCAAAGAAAUAGCAAAGAACAUAGAUGACAUUAAUUAAACCCACAUUGAAAUGGGAAAAAUGAGUGACACAAGUAAGAAUUCCAGCGGUUCAAUUCGAUCCCAAAACUCAAAACUCCACACGGCAUUCAUCAUCAGUAACUGUUAGAACUGUUGAAAUAUAUUUGCUCAACAAUAAUUGUCGUAACAGUCAUAUGAAACAAAUAUAAUACAAUGUAACGUCAGAUUUUCGGGAAAGGAAAGCAAACAAACAAAAUUGCACACUCGCUUCAAAGGAUGGAAAAGGGACUUGACAAUGCCACGCGCACGUAGAUGGAUAGGCCAAUAAGUGAGAACUACCUCCCCCUGAGCAAAACCUUCACCGCCGCCGCCACGUUCGGGUCCCCCCCAGUCCAUGCCGCUCGUCGACCGCACAUUGUUGAUCACUUCCGUCGACUAUCGCACGUACUUCCCGUCCGAAGCCGCCGCCAGCGCCGACGCGAGUAAUAGCACCGCCGAAGAGGAUGGAACACCGGCCCCCCGUCGAGACUGCGAGCUCUCGCCGGCCCAUGGGCCGGGUGCUGGUCACGGCGGCCUAGGGACAGAGAAACCGCCGUUGGAGAAGUGGAGAUGGUAUUUCUCAAACAAGAACUGGGGGAGGGCAGCUACAAUAGAGAAGGUAGGGAAAAGUGGUAGCAGUUUGUAACCAAGGAGACGAGCCGUAGCUGACAGAGCUAAAAGAGAGGAGAGAAAGGAGAUCUCGGUGUGGGGAGGAGGUCGCAGAUGCCCUGUCGGCUUAUCACCUUAUCCUGACGCGUUUUAGCUGGAAUCGUGUGCAGGGAUCAAGCAAGAUAGCGGAUUCGUUCAGGAAUUGCGACAGGGGACCCUACCACCCCC